CGCAUGGGGGCUGCGAUCCCCUCACGAGGCGCCAUGCCCAAGAGUCGCGUCCUGUUUUCCCAAGAGGACGCCGCAUG
rnacentral:ncRNA from 1 species